AUUGAACGCUGGCGGCAUGCCUUACACAUGCAAGUCGAACGGCAGCACGGGAGCAAUCCUGGUGGCGAGUGGCGAACGGGUGAGUAAUAUAUCGGAACGUGCCCAGUCGUGGGGGAUAACGUAGCGAAAGCUACGCUAAUACCGCAUACGAUCCAUGGAUGAAAGCGGGGGAUCGCAAGACCUCGCGCGAUUGGAGCGGCCGAUAUCAGAUUAGGAGUUGGUGGGGUAAAAGCCCACCAAGCCGACGAUCUGUAGCUGGUCUGAGAGGACGACCAGCCACACUGGAACUGAGACACGGUCCAGACUCCUACGGGAGGCAGCAGUGGGGAAUUUUGGACAAUGGGCGAAAGCCUGAUCCAGCAAUGCCGCGUGCAGGAUGAAGG
rnacentral:rRNA from 1 species